GCAGGUAAGUAGGAGCAGAUAUAUCCGCCAUUUUGUAAGUUCAUUGAAUUAGUGCUAAAUAAAACAUUGCAAGUUUAAAACAUUUUUUGUGGUUUGGUUUUUUGAGUCAAAAUUAAAAGGAGUACUUUCAAAAAUACUCUCAUAUUAUUCACAAAUAACAUCAUCCCAGACACAGACCCUCCAAAAAAGAUGGAACCUUUCCAAAAUAGCAGCAUUUAUUUCUAUUAUUUUAUUGCUCUUUCGGGAUCGGGAUGCUAUCGAUUCGGUCAGGUUAGGUUAGGUUAGGUUAGGUCCGGUGCGUUUACUAUCGUAUUUCUAUUUUUUCUUCUUUUUUCGUGGCACGAAUAGGCCUUUUUUGACCGAAUUUUUAAUUCCCUAUCAUUUCUACCUUCCAAUUCCUCUUGGCGUUUGUCGGAGGUUUAUCCGAAAUAUUUAAAUUGAACUACGUACGUGAAAAAAAAAACAAAUGACGAAAUGGAUAUUUAAAAUGACGAAUGAAAGGAAUAUGAGGUUAAGCUGAAAAUUAUCGAUGAUAAAUAUCCUUACACCUUGUAAAGUCUGAAAUUUAGAAUAUUUUACCCGGAGUAAAGUGAUCAUAUUUUAAAAAUUAUAUGUCGCCCCAUAUAAAUCACAUGAUUUACUUUAAACAUAAAUGUAAAGUCAUUUGCAAAUUAUUUGUUACACCAUAGAUAUAACUAAAAUAUAGAUCGCCAUCUGGGAAUACAAUUAUCCAUACAUUAUUUCAAGGUCUAACAUUGUCUAUCUCUACGGUAUUCCAAAUAAUUUGCAAAUAAUAGUACAAUAUGUACAUAAAUGUAUUUACGUCUACGCUUUACCGUAGUUAAAGAUGUUAUUUUUUACAAUAACAGUACAAUUAUUGAUUAAUACUAGUGUAUUUUUUAACCAGUAUGACCAGGAGAGAUGGUACAUUUCAGGUCUUUAAAACUAACUAGUUCAAAUGUAAAUAUACCAGUACCGUACUGAUAAAAACAGUACGGAUGGUCAUCUUACUGGAAGUUAUAUGAUGAGACAUGUUAAACUAUUUUAUAUUAAUACGUACGUAGGUAAUGAAUAAUUUCUAAUCGCAUUGAAAAUAAUUCGUGCAUUGUUGAGACAUUAUUGGAAACAAAAGUUAAAGCAGCCGUGAUAGCAAAGAAAAUAUGUGAAAUUGAGUGAGAAAAUACAGUUAAGAGCGAACGAGACAGCGUUGGUUUAAUCGUAUUAAUAGUAGGGCUGGACAAUUAUCAAAAAAUAUAAUCGAUUAUCGAUUAUUUUCGACAUCGAAAAUAAUUGAUCACUCGAAAAUAACUGACUAAUCCAAAAUAAUCGAUAAAUCGGAAAUAAUCGAUUAAUCGAAAAUAAUCAAUUUUCGAUUAUUCGAAAAUCGGAGAUAAAGCUUCAAAAGAACGAUUGUGGUUUGAUUCCUACAAAAAAACACGAUAAAGAGCGAGUAUACAACUAGGAACAUACAGAAGACAUUAUGGUUUGAUUCCCAAUAAAAACAAAUCAAAUAAUGAACCUACAGAAGAUAUUUGGAAGUCGUCCAUCUGCUUGAGAUAUUGAGGUUAUAAGAGAAUUAGUGAAAGACUAACCUGGUACCAGCACGCGCCGAUUAUCGGACUUCUUUGGAUUUCUUGGAAAGUCUUGUUGUGUGUCUGGUGAAAUUAUGAAGGUUUGUUUAUAUAGUGGACUUCGAAAUCAUACUAAAUAAUCCAGCAAUUGUUACCGAGGUAUAAAGUGGGUAGUUGAUACAAAUGCAUGAGGUUUUAUCGGUGAAAUAUCCAAAGUUAACCGGAAACAGAUCUUACAAUAAUACUAAACCACGUACUGCGAUAGUUACGCGGAAUAUGAUUAGUGGUAUUGACUUCCUACCACAUCCAGCAUUUAGCCUGAACCUUGCACCUGAUUACUAUUCAUACGAGUAAAAAUGUAAAUUCAAAGGAAAUGUUGAAAACGCAGUGCCAACUUACUGAACGUUGUAUACGAUGGGCUAUACUUCGAAUAUAAAGGUUGUUUUUUUGUAUGAUUAUUUAAUAAACAAAGUGAACAUUGAAAA